CUACGGAGGGGGCUAGCGUUGUUCGGAAUUACUGGGCGUAAAGCGCGUGUAGGCGGAUCGUUAAGUCAGGGGUGAAAGCCCGGGGCUCAACCCCGGAACUGCCCUUGAUACUGGCGAUCUAGAGUCCGGAAGAGGUGGGCGGAAUUCCCGGUGUAGAGGUGAAAUUCGUAGAUAUCGGGAGGAACACCAGUGGCGAAGGCGGCUCACUGGUCCGGUACUGACGCUGAAACGCGAAAGCGUGGGGAGCAAACAGGAUUAGAAACCCCAGUAGUCC
rnacentral:rRNA from 1 species